GACGGAGGAUGCAAGCGUUAUCCGGAAUUAUUGGGCGUAAAGCGUACGCAGGUGGCACACCAAGUCCUUUGUUAAAGCGCGAGGCUUAACCUUGUAAAGGCAGAGGAAACUGGUGAGCUAGAGUAUGGUAGGUGCAGGAGGAAUUCCCGGUGUAGCGGUGAAAUGCGUAGAUAUCGGGAAGAACACCAGCGGCGAAAGCGUCCUGCAAAGCCAAAACUGACACUCAUGUACGAAAGCUAGGGGAGCGAAUGGG
rnacentral:rRNA from 1 species